rnacentral:tmRNA from 1 species
GGGGCUGUACUGGUUUCGACGUGUUGGCGAACGCUGCUCCGUGAUACAGGUCGAGAGUGAGUCUCCUCUCGCAAAUCCCAGGCUCAACAAUCGUAAGUGCGAAUAACAUCGUUCCUUUCGCUCGUAAGGCCGUAGCUGUUGCCUAAAAACCUCUUAUAGGUUCGAGCAUUCAUAUCGUGACUCCGUUAAACGGUAUGGAUAAACCUCAACGGAUGCAUUGGUUAACUAUCUCUGGAAAGUUGACUGAUUAAGAUAUUUCCAGAGCAUCCCACCAAUCGGGAUAAUGGUUGGUUCUUGCCCUGAGGAUUAGAAGGGCUAAACCUGUGAACGAUCGGG